UGGUUAAGGAACUCGGCAAAAUGCCCCCGUAACUUCGGGAGAAGGGGGGCCUGAUCCCUGAAGCCCCUUUGCGGGCUAGGGGGGAGGGUCGCAGAGGCCAGGGGGAAGCGACUGUUUACUAAAAACACAGGUCCGUGCGAAGCCGUAAGGCGAUGUAUACGGACUGACGCCUGCCCGGUGCUGGAAGGUUAAGAGGAACCAUCAACCCUCGGGUGAAGUGGUGAAUUUAAGCCCCAGUAAACGGCGGUGGUAACUAUAACCAUCCUAAGGUAGCGAAAUUCCUUGUCGGGUAAGUUCCGACCUGCACGAAUGGCGUAACGACUUCCCCGCUGUCUCAACCAUGAGCUCGGCGAAAUUGCAGUACGAGUAAAGAUGCUCGUUUCGCGCAGAAGGACGGAAAGACCCCGGGACCUUUACUACAGCUUGGUAUUGGCGCCCGCUAUAGCUUGUGCAGGAUAGGUGGGAGACUGUGAAGCCGUUACGCCAGUAGCGGUGGAGUCGUCCUUGAAAUACCACUCUGGUUAUGGCGUGCGCCUGAACCUGGGCCCGUGAUCCGGGUUAGGGACAGUGCCUGGUGGGUAGUUUAACUGGGGCGGUUGCCUCCUAAAGUGUAACGGAGGCGCUCAAAGGUUCCCUCAGCCUGGUCGGCAACCAGGUGUUGAGUGCAAGUGCACAAGGGAGCUUGACUGUGAGACCGACGGGUCGAGCAGGUACGAAAGUAGGAACUAGUGAUCCGGCGAUCCCGUGUGGGUGGGUCGUCGCUCAACGGAUAAAAGGUACCCCGGGGAUAACAGGCUGAUCCUGCCCAAGAGUCCAUAUCGACGGCAUGGUUUGGCACCUCGAUGUCGGCUCGUCGCAUCCUGGGGCUGGAGUCGGUCCCAAGGGUUGGGCUGUUCGCCCAUUAAAGCGGUACGCGAGCUGGGUU
rnacentral:rRNA from 1 species